rnacentral:rRNA from 1 species
UACGUAGGGCGCAAGCGUUGUCCGGAAUUAUUGGGCGUAAAGAGCUCGUAGGCGGUCUGUCGCGUCGGCUGUGAAAACCUGAGGCUCAACCUCAGGCCUGCAGUCGAUACGGGCAGACUAGAGUGCGGUAGGGGAGACUGGAAUUCCUGGUGUAGCGGUGAAAUGCGCAGAUAUCAGGAGGAACACCGGUGGCGAAGGCGGGUCUCUGGGCCGUAACUGACGCUGAGGAGCGAAAGCGUGGGGAGCGAACAGG